CCUACGGGUCGCAGCAGUGGGGAAUAUUGCACAAUGGGCGCAAGCCUGAUGCAGCCAUGCCGCGUGUAUGAAGAAGGCCUUAGGGUUGUAAAGUACUUUCAGUUGGGAGGAAGGCGUUGAUGCUAAUAUCAUCAGCGAUUGACGUUACCAACAGAAGAAGCACCGGCUAACUCCGUGCCAGCAGCCGCGGUAAUACGGAGGGUGCAAGCGUUAAUCGGAAUUACUGGGCGUAAAGCGCACGCAGGCGGUUGAUUAAGUUAGAUGUGAAAUCCCCGGGCAUAACCUGGGAAUGGCAUCUAAGACUGGUCAGAUAGAGUCCUGUAGAGGGGGGUAGAAUUCCAUGUGUAGCGGUGUAAUGCGUAGAGAUGUGGAGGAAUACCGGUGGCGAAGGUGGCCCCCUGGACAAAGACUGACACUCAGGUGCGAAAGCGUGGGGAGCAAACAGGAUUAGAUACCCGGGUAGUC
rnacentral:rRNA from 1 species